rnacentral:rRNA from 1 species
UACGGAGGGUGCAAGCGUUAUCCGGAUUCACUGGGCGUAAAGGGUGCGUAGGCGGGCAGGGAAGUCCGUGGUGAAAUCUCUGAGCUUAACUCAGAAACUGCCAUGGAUACUAUUUGUCUUGAAUAUUGUGGAGGUAAGCGGAAUAUGUCAUGUAGCGGUGAAAUGCUUAGAUAUGACAUAGAACACCAAUUGCGAAGGCAGCUUACUACACAGUUAUUGACGCUGAGGCACGAAAGCGUGGGGAUCAAACAGG